GUUACAGAUCGCGAACACGGCGUAGAUUAUAGCCAGGCUGGUAUAAGCUUCACCUUUGAAUUCACCGUUGGUAUCUGCUUUGAUGCUGUUCAGGACAGUUUUCUGAGGACAAAAGAGAUCGACGCGAGAGGAUAACGUCGGAGGAAAAUGGAAAGUGACCAAACCAGAAACGAGAUUCGAGGAAUAUGUAAAUAAAAGAUGGCAUAAAGUGCAUUGUAUUAUUAGUUCCGGAAUUCUCUUUUAGGACUCUUUUAGAACUGAAACUGGUUAUUCUAUAUUUAUAAAAGCUGUAAAACCAGAACUAUAUUUACGUCUCAGUCAAGGAUAACCACAAAAUACCAAUGCUGUUGGAACGGACAUUAUUUUAUAUUCUUUUGACGUGCCAUGAUAAGAAUUAGGAACGUCCGGAUUUAAUGCGCGAGAGCUGCAUAUUAAUCGUCAAUGUAAAAAGAAAAACCGUUUUCUUGAUAUAUACGAUUUUAUCUUUCGAAAAAGAUAAAAAUAAUGGAAAAUACUUUUAGAAAAAAAUUAUUAGAUUGAAUUUACCACUGCGAUUUUUAAAAUAAGAUAUUUCUCUCCGGGCGUGCUAUCGCGGAUCGAGGAUUCUUUCUGAGGUAAUUAAUUAUCUCAACAGCGUUUCCCAUGUCCACCAGAGGAGUUUCUUCAAGAAUUCGAAAUCAUUAUGAUCCCCGAAGAAUUACAACAGUGGAGAAGGGCGUGCAAAACGCGAAUUUGGGAACCGGUUGCGUCGGUUCAGGUUUCGGCGGAUGCAAUUAUCGGGCACGUCUAGGAUGCAUUUUGCAUUGGCGAAACUUUCUCUUUCGCUUUACGACACCAGGUUAGCGGUCCGGAAUUCCAGAAUUCUGAUUACAAUAGGCAGGAGGAUUCUGCAGGGGAAGCCUUUUUCUAUAGUUUCUAAUACAAGACGAAACAAGUAUUAAAAAAAGAAGAGGGCAACGGUCGGAGUAAUUUCGUCACACCAAAAUGUAACUCUGUUUCUUCUCAAUUGGAUACUUUGCAUAAUUUAAUCGCAUCCGAUUAGACUAAGGUGACAAUGUGUCGACAUCAUUGACAGACAAUUGCCAAUUUCCUUUCCACGAUAAUGACCCGAUUGCAAUUUGGUAGGACGCGAUAUCCGUACAAAAUUAACAUCGAAUUAGUUUCAUAGGAAAUGUUAUUUUUACGAGAUCCAAGAUAGCGCAAUCUAUCGUGUUGAUAAUUAUAGAACCUAAAUUAUCAAUUUAAUUAUUCCGCGUAAAUACCGACGGGAAACUGCACCUUCUAAUAUGUAGAUUGUCAGAGACGAUAUCGAUAAUAAUCGUGAAUAGAGUAUUAAUCUUUAAAAGAUAUUUAAAAGAGGAAAUUAAUCUUAACUCUUGAAAAAUUGACGUAACCAAUCGAUGAACUUAUUACGAUUAAACGUGCAAAAUAAGGCUAUCGAUGCGAUUAUAAAAGUCGCGUAAGAAAAAUCUGAUAAAGCCGUCUAGAAUUAUUCGUUAUUGUAAAAAUUCGUAAUUGACACAAAUAGCUGUAGCUAUAUAUAGCCAUGUGUUUGAUUAAUUAUUUCACUGAAAAAAUUUUUACUAUUUUAAUUAAGUAUAUUUUAAUUAAUAUUUCCUAUAUUUAAUUCAAUGUUGAUACAAAGUAAUUUUUUUAAAUAAACUUGCGAAAUACUUCUUUAAAUCACGGAAAUGAUGCUAAACGAAUGUAUUACAUUUACUUAAUAAUAAAAAAAUUUUUUUAGUAUUAAAUUUGUUUCAAAAAAGGAAUUUUAUUAGAGACAUUCAAUUAUAAAUUAAAUUUCCGAAUUAUCAUUAAUAAUUGGUAAGAAAUUUUUAUCGAAAUGAAUGUUUUAAGAGGUCAGUGAGAUUACAAAAUAUUAUCUCUUGAAGUGUAUCUUAAAUGACUUGAAAAUAUCCGUAAAUUGACUCUUUCAUUACCCAAGUGUUGAUUGAUUAUUCAAUAGAUCUUGAUUUUUCUUCUAUUCGUUGCGAUGCAUAUUUUAUUUUUUAAAAUACAAAUUUAAGAGAAAAUUACGCAAGUGUAUCAUUAGAAAAUAUAAUAUAAAAUAUUUCGGGAAUGCCAGUGAAGCUACGCCACUGCACGCAGGAAUAUCGGACUAAUCUGUGACUUUUGUUGCAGCUAAUCGGACAUGAUAGCGUUAGCGGCCGGUGAAUUCACGCGCAAACAAUGACCGUUGUACCGCGCUGUAGCACGAUCAAUUAUUCGCCGCGCGUUUAUUUAAAAAGUCUCGUAGAUAUCGCGUAUCCGAAGAUACUUCUGAAUUACGGAGAUAACGCAGCGUAUUUCCAGCGUAACUAUUCAUUCGCGGGGCUCGUUACAACAUGCGAUUGUCGCUCCCAGAUUAAGCUUGAUAUCCUAUGGAAUAUAUUAUGUAAGUCUCUUUCUGAUAUGAGGUGUGAAGUUUAAAAAAUCAUUCGCAAAAAAACGUUAUGCAAGAGGACCGAGCGGAAAACGUUGUCACAUAACAUAAAUCUGUCGCUCCCGAAUACAUAUUUCGAAAUAAUACAAACUACGAACAGUCUCAGAUCGCGCAAUAGUAAGAUAAGAUUAUUAUGAACUAUUAAAAUUAAGACAGGAGAGAAAAAAACUCAACAAAACAGAGAUAACGUAAAUUGAUUUAACUAUUAAAAACAAAGGGAAAAGACAAAAAAGAGAGAGAAAGUUAUUGAGUUUGAAAAACUGCAAGCUUCUUUAAGUUUUUUUUUUUCUAACAAAAAAAUUUAGUCGCGAAUGUCCAAAUUUAAGAUAGCUCUGAAACCAAGAAUAAAAUAACGAAUAAUUUGGUUAUUAAUAGUUCAAGGAGCGUAAAAUGAUCAUAUUCUUGCAGAUUUAGGUAAAUAAUUUUUUAACAAGUGCAUCCAAAUUAAUUUUUGCACGAAUAUGUAUUAGAGUUUUAUAUUAAUAUAAAGUAAAAAAAUUUGAUGUAAUUUGUAAUUGGAAACCAUGAUUUUUUUUCUGUUGUCAAAAUAUCACAAAAGAAUUGGUUACCAUCAUUCAAAAAUUUUUUUUUACGUCUCGCCCAGAUAUCAUUCGUUCGGCCCUUGAGAGAAAGUUCAAUAAACGUGUAAUGCGUAUUUCACCGAUCGCAAGUUGAGCAAUGCCGAAAGUGUGAUCGAUAAUAGUAAUUUAAAGUAUAAUUUAGAGGUAUUCCAGCCUCGCUGCCAGCUGCGAUCGCGACCACUUAGCUCCUUGCCUUUUGUAAUACUUUCUAAUCCAUAUAACUAAUCGCACGCUAUCCCGAUCUGUACUUUCUAGAACUUUAUAGACUGACGUGAGUAUUUCAUUUGCAUCGCAACAACUAAACGUGAAUCACAGGUUCAUCGAGGUGCCUGACAAAAUUAAUCCUAAAAUAGUACUCAUUUUAUAUAUUACUCUUAUUAAUAUAUUGUAUAUUAAAUAUUUUAAUAUAUACAUUUAUAUUUAUAUAUAAUACAUUUUAUAUAUACACACAC
rnacentral:lncRNA from 1 species